GGCUCAGUAACACGUAGUCAACAUGCCCAGGGGACGUGGAUAACCUCGGGAAACUGAGGAUAAACCGCGAUAGGUCAUCACUUCUGGAAUGGGUAAUGACUUAAAUCUAUAUGGCCCCUGGAUUGGACUGCGGCCGAUCAGGCUGUUGGUGAGGUAAUGGCCCACCAAACCUGUAACCGGUACGGGCUCUGAGAGGAGGAGCCCGGAGAUGGGCACUGAGACAAGGGCCCAGGCCCUAUGGGGCGCAGCAGGCGCGAAACCUCUGCAAUAGGCGAAAGCUUGACAGGGUUACUCUGAGUGAUUUCCGUUAAGGAGAUCUUUUGGCACCUCUAAAAAUGGUGCAGAAUAAGGGGUGGGCAAGUCUGGUGUCAGCCGCCGCGGUAAUACCAGCACCCCGAGUGGUCGGGACGUUUAUUGGGCCUAAAGCAUCCGUAGCCGGUUCUACAAGUCUUCCGUUAAAUCCACCUGCUUAACAGAUGGGCUGCGGAAGAUACUAUAGAGCUAGGAGGCGGGAGAGGCAAGCGGUACUCGAUGGGUAGGGGUAAAAUCCGUUGAUCCAUUGAAGACCACCGGUGGCGAAGGCGGCUUGCCAGAACGCGCUCGACGGUGAGGGAUGAAAGCUGGGGGAGCAAACCGGAUUAGAUACCCGGGUAGUCCCAGCUGUAAACGAUGCAGACUCGGUGAUGAGUUGGCUUAUUGCUAACUCAGUGCCGCAGGGAAGCCGUUAAGUUUGCCGCCUGGGGAGUACGGUCGCAAGACUGAAACUUAAAGGAAUUGGCGGGGGAGCA
rnacentral:rRNA from 1 species